rnacentral:rRNA from 1 species
CCAAUAGCGUAUAUUAAAGUUGUUGCAGUUAAAAAGCUCGUAGUUGAAUUUCGGGGUCUGUCCAUUGGUCGGGCUUCACGGUCCGUACUGGUGUGAUGGGUUCCUACCUUCUGAAUAACCAGCAUGCCAUUUAGUUGGUGCGCCGGGGAAGCAGAGCUAUUACCUUGAAAAAAUUAGAGUGCUUAAAGCAGGCUAGUGCUUGAAUAGAUUAGCAUGGAAUAAUAAAAUAGGACGGCAUGGUUCUAUUUUGUUGGUUUCUAGGAUCACCGUAAUGAUUAAUAGGGAUAGUUGGGGGCAUUAGUAUUCAAUUGUCAGAGGUGAAAUUCUUGGAUUUAUUGAAGACUAACUUCUGCGAAAGCAUUUGCCAAGGAUGUUUUCAUUAAUCAAGAACGAAAGUUAGGGGAUCGAAGACGAUCAGAUACCGUCGUAGUCUUAACCAUAAACUAUGCCGACUAGGGAUCGGACGAUGUUAAUUUUUUAAUGACUCGUUCGGCGCCUUACG